rnacentral:rRNA from 1 species
UACGUAGGGUGCAGGCGUUAAUCGGAAUUACUGGGCGUAAAGCGUGCGCAGGCGGUCUCUUAAGACAGGUGUGAAAUCCCCGGGCUCAACCUGGGAACUGCAUUUGUGACUGCAUAGCUAGAGUACGGUAGAGGGGGAUGGAAUUCCGCGUGUAGCAGUGAAAUGCGUAGAUAUGCGGAGGAACACCGAUGGCGAAGGCAAUCCCCUGGACCUGUACUGACGCUCAUGCACGAAAGCGUGGGGAGCAAACAGG